GUUGUUGUGGUUCAGUGGUUAGGGCUUUAUGUUACAGUUUGAAAGAUUGUGUGUUCAAAUCCCAGGAGCACCA